UGUGGGAGCGGGCUUGCUCGCGAUGCAGGCGCCCCGGUAUGACGGUUUACCGAGUUGAUAUCAUCGCGAGCAAGCCCGCUCCCACA
rnacentral:misc_RNA from 1 species